rnacentral:rRNA from 1 species
GACGUAGGGCGCGAGCGUUGUCCGGAUUUAUUGGGCGUAAAGAGCUCGUAGGCGGCUUGUCGCGUCGUCCGUGAAAACUUGGGGCUCAACCCCAAGCUUGCGGUCGAUACGGGCAGGCUCGAGUUCGGUAGGGGAGACUGGAGUUCCUGGUGUAGCGGUGAAAUGCGCAGAUAUCAGGAGGAACACCGGUGGCGAAGGCGGGUCUCUGGGCCGAUACUGACGCUGAGGAGCGAAAGCGUGGGGAGCGAACAGG